rnacentral:rRNA from 2 species
UUGGGCGUAGAGCUCGUAGCGGUUUGUCGCGUCUGCCGUGAAAGUCCGGGGCUUAACCCCGGAUCUGCGGUGGGUACGGGCAGACUACAGUGCAGNAGGGGANACCGGAAUUCCUGGUGUAGCGGUGAAAUGCGCAGAUAUCAGGAGGAACACCGAUGGCGAAGGCAGGUCUCUGGGCUGUUACUGACGCUGAGGAGCGAAAGCAUGGGGAGCGAACAGGAUUAGAUACCCUGGUAGUCCAUGCCGUAAACGUUGGGCACUAGGUGUGGGGGACAUUCCACGUUUUCCGCGCCGCAGCUAACGCAUUAAGUGCCCCGCCUGGGGAGUACGGCCGCAAGGCUAAAACUCAAAGGAAUUGACGGGGGCCCGCACAAGCGGCGGAGCAUGCGGAUUAAUUCGAUGCAACGCGAAGAACCUUACCAAGGCUUGACAUGUUCCCGACCGGGCCAGAGAUGGUCUUUCCCCUUUGGGGCGGGUUCACAGGUGGUGCAUGGUUGUCGUCAGCUCGUGUCGUGAGAUGUUGGGUUAAGUCCCGCAACGAGCGCAACCCUCGUUCCAUGUUGCCAGCGGGUUAUGCCGGGGACUCAUGGGAGACUGCCGGGGUCAACUCGGAGGAAGGUGGGGACGACGUCAAAUCAUCAUGCCCCUUAUGUCUUGGGCUUCACGCAUGCUACAAUGGCCGGUACAAUGGGUUGCGAUACUGUGAGGUGGAGCUAAUCCCNAAAAGCCGGUCUCAGUUCGGAUUGGGGUCUGCAACUCGACCCCAUGAAGUCGGAGUCGCUAGUAAUCGCAGAUCAGCAACGCUGCGGUGAAUACGUUCCCGGG